GGCAGAUCUAGAGUUUAAUCUAAGGGGGUAAGAACCAGAUAAGAUUAAGCUAAGAGGGAUGUGGGGAGGAGGAAGAAAGAUGCAGUUUACACUCUUUAACAAUAUUCAUAGAUUCUACAUGUCACUGUGUAUCCCCCAAAUAAUUACACACUUUAUAGUACUGCAGCGCAGUAGAAUGCCUCACCCACACUGCACAAAUAAAUACAUUUAUAAGUACUUCGUAUUACUGCACAGCACUGCUGAAUUCUAAAAUAACAUUAUAU